CCAAGGCAAUUGCUGAUAUUCUUUCAUCGGCAGUGUUAGCAUUGCAUGAUGACUCCAGUGAAGUUCGUCGAAGGGCAUUGUCUGCUCUAAAAUCUGUUGCAAAAGCAAAUCCGUCAGCAGUAGCGGCGAAUGUGACAAUAUUUGGUCCUGCACUUGCUGAAUGUUUGAAGGACGGAAGUACUCCAGUGAGACUGGCUGCUGAAAGAUGCGCCUUGCAUUGCUUUCAGUUGACAAAGGGGACAGAAUAUGUUCAAGCUGCCCAAAAAUUUAUUACAGGUUUGGAUGCCAGACGAUUAUCAAAAUUUUCUGAGCACAGUGAUGACAGUGACGACAGUGAAGAUGACUCGGCAAGUGGCUGAAAAUGUUGGUGGUCACCGAUCCAUUUUAAUUUUGAAGUUCUUCAAGAGUGGAAGUAUAAUCUGAUGAUGAGGGAAGUCUAUGGCCGAAUUUUUUAUGGCGUCUGUGUUUGUUCAUAGGAGAUACAGAUAUACACACAAAGAGAGGUCCAAACCCAAAAUUGUCUCAUCCGAAUUUUGUUUAUUGUCAUUUGUAAUUGGGUAAUCAAUUAGCCAACAGGGUAUCAUAUACUGGUCUGAAGACCAUAUAUUCUCUCAUCACAAUUUUGUAUGAAUUUUGGCAACUGCUAAUGCAAAUAGAAAGCUAAUUUGUAAAGCUUUCAUUUGUAAUUAGAAAACUAGUAAUUG